rnacentral:rRNA from 1 species
UACGUAGGGGGCAAGCGUUGUCCGGAUUCAUUGGGCGUAAAGAGCGUGUAGGCGGCCUGGAAGGUCAGCUGUGAAAACUCGAGGCUCAACCUCGAGACGUCGGUUGAAACCACCUGGCUAGAGUCCGGAAGAGGAGUGUGGAAUUCCCGGUGUAGCGGUGAAAUGCGCAGAUAUCGGGAGGAACACCGGUGGCGAAGGCGGAUCUCUGGGCCAUUACUGACGCUGAGGAGCGAAAGCGUGGGGAGCGAACAGG